rnacentral:rRNA from 1 species
UACAGAGGGUGCGAGCGUUAAUCGGAAUUACUGGGCGUAAAGCGUGCGUAGACGGUUAUGUAAGUCGGGUGUGAAAGCCCCGGGCUCAACCUGGGAAUUGCAUUCGAGACUGCAUAGCUAGGGUGCGGAAGAGGGAAGCGGAAUUUCCGGUGUAGCGGUGAAAUGCGUAGAUAUCGGAAGGAACAUCAGUGGCGAAAGCGGCUUCCUGGUCCAGCACCGACGUUCAGGCACGAAAGCGUGGG